AUGGAUGCCAUGCUUAGCUACAAAUAUAUCUCCCACAAAUUGCAUAAUUUGGCAGAUCGAGCAGCCUACUUUCCGGAAUGUGUCGUGUUAGUAGACAACACACAUGACAUCCUUGGUAAGCAAAUUGAAGAAAAAAUUAAUGCAUGUGCAAGCACAUUGGGGUAUCCGUGUACAAUUCCGAUAGAUGCUAGCCCAUCAAAUGACUUGUUGACUAAUGCACGUCUAAAGAAAAAGGAGGUCCAAACAAAGAGUUCAAAACGGAUUUUUUUUGGCUCGAUAAGAAGCACAAGGCUAGGAAAAAGAGAGAAAGCAGAGCUACAUCACAGUUGGGUGAAGAGAUGCAGGAGGUCGGGGAAGUGGCAGGUGGUGGUGGUGCACAAGUUACAAAUGAUAAGAGUUUAUAGGGAUAAUGCAGAGGUGCCUGAAGGUUACAAGACCAACCUUAGCUUCACUCAGUUGCUGAUGGGGCCAAUUACAGAUGAUCUUUUCACUGGGUCAUGGUGA
rnacentral:rRNA from 1 species